AUGGUUUACUUCUGAGUAUGGAGAAUAACAAUUCAGGGCAAUGCUUGAAUCCUCGCUGCUAAUGUGAGAUGAAUUCUUGAGCAGGUAAAGUUUUUCCCUAAGAUCAACCACCUGCUUUGUUGGGAUGCCUGGGUUUGUGAUCUGCCUA
ensembl:snRNA U12 U12 minor spliceosomal RNA